rnacentral:rRNA from 1 species
GACGAACGCUGGCGGCGUGCUUAACACAUGCCAGUCGAACGGAAAGGCCCUGCUUUUGUGGGGUGCUCGAGUGGCGAACGGGUGAGUAACACGUGAGUAACCUGCCCUUGACUUUGGGAUAACUUCAGGAAACUGGGGCUAAUACCGGAUAGGAGCUCCUGCUGCAUGGUGGGGGUUGGAAAGUUUCGGCGGUUGGGGAUGGACUCGCGGCUUAUCAGCUUGUUGGUGGGGUAGUGGCUUACCAAGGCUUUGACGGGUAGCCGGCCUGAGAGGGUGACCGGCCACAUUGGGACUGAGAUACGGCCCAGACUCCUACGGAGGCAGCAGUGGGGAAUAUUGCACAAUGGGCGGAAGCCUGAUGCAGCAACGCCGCGUGCGGGAUGACGGCCUUCGGGUUGUAAACCGCUUUCGCCUGUGACGAAGCGUGAGUGACGGUAAUGGGUAAAGAAGCACCGGCUAACUACGUG